AUUGAACGCUGGCGGCAGGCCUAACACAUGCAAGUCGAACGAGUGGCGGACGGGUGAGUAAUGCUUGGGAAUCUGGCUUAUGGAGGGGGAUAACUAGGGGAAACUGUAGCUAAUACCGCGUACCAUAGGAUGAGCCCAAGUGGGAUUAGGGAGUUGGUGAGGAAAAGCCUCACCAAGCCGACGAUCUCUAGCAGGGCUGAGAGGCUGACCAGCCACACUGGGACUGAGACACGGCCCAGACUCCUACGGGAGGCAGCAGUGGGGAAUCUUGCGCAAUGGGGGCAACCUGACGCAGCCAUGCCGCGUGAAUGAAGAAGGCCUUCGGGUUGUAAAGUUCUUUCGGUAGCGAAGCGUUAACUACAGAAGAAGCACCGGCUAACUCCGUGCCAGCCGCCGCGGUAAUAC
rnacentral:rRNA from 1 species